GACUCAUUCGGGUAGCCGUCGUUGCCCUGGGAUACCAGGAGACGCCUUGUCCUGAGCGUCCUGUAUCUAUAGAGACGACAACAUGGCGGCGCUGUGAGUGCUGAGCGUUCGUCCCAGGGACUAGGGGAGCUUCGCGAGUGGCAAGGGAAGUUUGCAUUGCUUUGAUUCCGUCUGAACGCCCACUUUGCAACUGAAGGAGGCAAGACACGUUCAGAGGAAAAAGUAGAGAGUAAAAGCCAGAUCAAGGUAAUACCUAUGCUUCAGUGACACUCACUGGGGGCUUGCUGAGAGAUGCCACGUGUG
rnacentral:lncRNA from 1 species